GGAAACCAAGGCGCAGCGAGGUCAAGAGACCAGCACACUCCAGCAUUGUCAGAGACAAAUCAAACUGAGGAGCUGGCUGAAGCCCGCACCCUCUGAGGCUGUCCAGCUGCAGUGCAUUUACACUCUGCCCACAAGAGAUAGACAACAAAAGAAUAGAUCAAGCCUGAUUUAUAGCAUUUGCUGAUUUCUGAGUUGUAAGUGUUCCCACUGUGGCUGAUUUCAAGCAGUUAACUUCAAUGUGAUGUUGGGAAGAGACACAAUUGCACACUAUUAUACAGUAUUUCAACUCUACAGAUACUGUAGACAUAAAUCAUCUGAAGAGCACAGCAGUAGAAGUGGCUGGCAGUGGAAUUUGGGUCUGGGCCUCGUGCUGAGUGGCUGUCGGCUUUGGAAUCUGACCCUCCCUGGUGGAAAAAGCUGGGCCAGCAUUUGGGGCAGUCCUCAGCGUGCAGGCCCUAUAUGCUGUCUACUUUGGGCCACACGCACUUGGCUUUGCUCCUCAGGCUGGCAGCUCUCCAGGGGCACAGUCCUCAGCCCCACCCUAGCCAGCACUCAGUAGAAGGACCAGCCCUCAGAGACUGGCUGAAUGAAUUGAUGAGUACAAGCCUGGCUGACAUUCAAGAUUUCUUCCUGGUGAAACAGAAGCACAGUGUGGAGUCCUGUGUGGAAGCUCUCAUCUUGACGUCUUGUACAAAGAGUGUCCUUCAUUAUUGCUAACACUAGAGGGGAGGGGAACCUCACUAAUCCCCCCCUGCCCGACACGUACAAACACACAAAGGUUUCUACUAGCCGGAUGUUCUGUAACCAGGAAGUUCAGAUGCCUUUUUUUUUCUCCCAGUCUAUGAGAAAAGUCACCUCUGUCCCCACCCACAUGCGCACUGCUACACGCUGUGCCUACCAAGGCUGGCAGAAGUGUGCUGGCUGGGAGUGAUUUGCUCUUGGCAUCAGCCUGAGAAUAUCCUGUGCGGCUGAGAAGGUGGUGCUGCCCUCUCUGCAACACAGGGAUUGGGAAUUGAUCGGGGCGAGGGGGCACACACUAAGGACUCAAUGCACUCUGAAAGGGGAGGGCUCCAACAUCAACAGAAUUACAAGUGCUCCACUCCCUGCCAUGCCCCCUGCAUCCCAGCAUUCACACACAUCCUCCCGCAGAUGCUGUCUGACACUAUUCACAGGGGUUUGGAAAAAAGGGAAGGCCUGCCAUAAAGUCUGCAAAGAGGUGUGACUAUGGAGUUUCAGUAGGAAAAAAAUCUCUGGGGGACCACAAUUCCUAUUGUCCUUAUGGCUAUGGAUCAUGGUUAUGGUUAUGGACAAUUAAGGAGGCGAUGUAAAAAUCACUGUCCAGGAACCCUCCCUGCAUGUCCCCGAGGAUGACACCUCCACACCCUUGUCAACAUGUCCUGGGCUUAAUGACCCUGUGAGUGCACCUAGCUUUGAAAGUUCUGGUGUUUGCACGUGUGUGUGUGUGUGCGCGCGCACACGUGUGUGUGUGUGUGAAGGAGAGAGAAACAGUGAGAGAGAGAAAAUUAAUACUCUUGUUUCCAGACUAGACUUUGCUUCUGUGCUCGAAACACACACACUCCCAUCCAAGUGCCUCCUGGACAGCCCCACUUACACAUCCUAUAGGCAACUCAAAUUGAAUCUACCCAACACAACUUGUCAUCCUUUCCUUCCCCCUCAAACUCACAGUUUGUCCUGCCUGAUGAUCCCUUUCUCAAUAAGUGGCACUGCCACUCACCUACCUGGCCAAGCAGGAAAUCUGGGCACACCCUCGUCUCACACUCCCAUAGGCCUAGUCAUCAAGUCAGGCCUGUUCUAGCCUUCACGUUUUCACUUCAACAACCUCGCUCUCCAUGCACGGUCACUACUUCAGGUCAGGCCCCCAUCUAUGUGGAAGUGCAGCAAGGCCUCCUGAUGAGCUUUCCUGCCUCUAGUUCCCCCACUAUCCCCACCCCCCCCUCCAAUCCAUUCUCAACCCUCUCAACAAACCAGUCCCGAAGGAAGUGCCCAAGGCAGCAGGAAGCAGACCUGCCUGACAAGUCUUUCUCUCCAGGUUGUAGGUGCCUGAUGUUCCCCCUUAUUCCAGUAGUUUCUGGGGACAGCACUGCCAUAUUAGCUAGCUCACCACUCUAGGUUAUCUGAUUCACCCUACUGGCAUUGGCAGAAAGGAAGGAAUGUGAACUGAGAAGAAAGUUUUGAGGCUGGGCGCGGUGGCUCAUGCCUGUAAUCCCAGCACUUUGGGAGGCCAA
rnacentral:lncRNA from 1 species